rnacentral:rRNA from 1 species
CCUACGGGUGGCAGCAGUGAGGAAUAUUGGUCAAUGGACGAGAGUCUGAACCAGCCAAGUAGCGUGAAGGAUGACUGUCCUCUGGGUUGUAAACUUCUUUUAUAAAGGAAUAAAACGAGGCACGUGUGCCUUGUUGCAUGUACUUUAUGAAUAAGCAUCGGCUAACUCCGUGCCAGCAGCCGCGGUAAUACGGAGGAUUCGAGCGUUAUCCGGAUUUAUUGGGUUUAAAGGGAGCGUAGAUGGGUUGUUAAGUCAGUUGUGAAAGUCUGCGGCUCAACCGCAAAAUUGCAAUUGAUACUGGCAGUCUGGAGUACAGUUGAGGUAGGCGGAAUUCGUGGUGUAGCGGUGAAAUGCUUAGAUAUCACGAAGAACCCCGAUUGCGAAGGCAGCUUACUAGACUGUGACUGACAUUGAGGCUCGAAAGUGUGGGUAUCAAACAGGAUUAGAUACCCCUGUAGUC